UACGGAGGGUGCGAGCGUUGUCCGGAAUCACUGGGCGUAAAGGGCGCGUAGGUGGCACGGGUAGUCGUCGGUGAAAGCUCAGGGCUCAACCCUGAGUCGGCCGGUGAUACUCCCGAGCUCGAGUGUGGUAGAGGCCAAUGGAAUUCCGGGUGUAGCGGUGGAAUGCGUAGAGAUCCGGAAGAACACCGGUGGCGAAGGCGGUUGGCUGGGCCACAACUGACACUGAUGCGCGACAGCGUGGGGAGCAAACAGGAUUAGAUACCCUGGUAGUCCACGCCGUAAACGAUGGGCACUAGGUGCUUGGGGGAGCGACCCCCUGAGUGCCGGCGCUAACGCAUUAAGUGCCCCGCCUGGGGAGUACGGCCGCAAGGCUGAA
rnacentral:rRNA from 1 species